rnacentral:lncRNA from 1 species
GCUUCCCUUCUCUGAUCUCAUGUAAUGAUGUUGUGGUAGAAGUUGCAACACUCAAUUUUGAGCAACUGGCACAGGUAAAGUAAAGUUGGUGGAACAACCUCCAUUAAUCAGUGAGACUUUUCUGGAGGCACACAGAUUCUUAGUAGACUUGGAGUCAAAGAAACAUAGAGUUCUUGGUUUGAAAAAUGAGUAAAAGGACAAAGUAGCUGGGA